UUUAUAACUGGAGAGUUUGAUUCUGGCUCAGAACAAACGCUGGCGGCGUGCCUAAUACAUGCAAGUCAAACGGGUAGCAAUACUAGUGGCGCACGGGUGAGGAAUACAUGG
rnacentral:rRNA from 1 species